UAGCCGUCGUAGUCAUUGAAAAUACAAAAACAUUAAGGGUAAGGCUACUCAUGUCAAUUGAUAAUCCAUAAGAGACUUGAAGGAAAGAAGUUAAAAAAUUUGAGAAAAUAUAAUAAGACAUGAAAUAUGUGAAAAUUAAAACGCAUGAACCAAGGAUGGUACGGUCUUUCAAAGAUUUUAAGGCGAAAACGGGAUAGCGUGCAUAUUUGACGUCGUAGAAGCAUAGGGUUACUAACAAAGCAAUGGAGAGAGUUAUAGUAAAGAGAGUUAAAAUUGUUGAGUCUGGUGAAACUACCUGACUCGAAUGGGAAAAAGGCAGCAACAAAAGCGUAAAGCCAGACACAAACAACACUAUUCCAAGACCAUCCAAUUCCUGCCAAAACAAAUAAAAUAGUCUAAGUUUUUCAGGAGUGGAAUGAUUGAUCAAGUUAUGAUGUUCUCUAUAUAAACCUGCAGCCUUGGCUUUUCUUUGGUUUAGGAAAAGCGAAGCCAAGAGAGGUAAUGAAACUGUUGGUAAAAUGAACGCCCAUAUACCAUAACCCAAUCUCCACCCAUAAUUUUUCUCAGGAUGAAAGGCUUGAGCAAGCACUGGUCCAAUCCAAACAGUUGCAAGAUAGGGAAGUUCUGGGAUAGCAGAGAGAAUCCCCCGAUUGAGUAGCGAAGAUGUGUCUGCAAUAAUUAAUUGAGAUAACAGACCUAGCCCAGUUUGGCCGCAUAUAUAGAGGAUAUAUGCUACGGUAAACAUUUGAAUAUUUCGAGAAAAUGCCAAUGAAAGAUAUCCCAACACUGUCAUUCCUAAUGCUAAACUAAGACUCUCCGAACGUCCAAAGACAUCGGCAGCCUUUACCAUUGGUGCUCGAACAACUGCUAAAAGAAUAUUGCCCACCAAAUUGAUUGUAGCCAAGUUUGAAUGGGCGGAAAAGUUGCUGGUUGCGUAUCUUUGCAAAGAAUACGUAGUUUGCUGCUCUAAUGAAGAUGCAAAUGACAACAAAUAGAGACUAAAAGAGAAGACAUUGUGUUAGCUUGAUCAUACCACAAACACAAACAUUCAACAGAUGUAUGCAAACACUACGUGAUUUAUGGAUUAUCAUGACUACAAUACUAACAUACCCAAGGUAAGCAACAAUAAUCGAUCUUUUAGACCAUGUUGAAGCAAUUGCCUCAGCUUUGGAAACACCUUCUAGUGACAAUUCUGAAGUACGAUCAUUUAUGGGUCCAGCAUUAUCAAGCUCUUCUCUAAGGGGAUGAAAUUGCUGUUCUAAAUUUUCGUUAUUACGAAAACUCUUUUUACGAUGCUCCAUGCUUCCAUAAUUCUCAGUCAUCCAGAGUGUAUGGUAAAUGGCAGUAUGCAAAAGGUACGCCAACACAAAUUAUCAGAUCGUAUAGCAAAUUAGAGUUUAUCUAACCGAGAUGUUUAAUGAAGUUGGUAAACAAUAAUAAAUAAAGACUGAUGAAAUGCAGACUAGUUAGUUAAUAAGAGGUUUUUGGUUGCUUUAAGAAGCGGUUAAACUUUUUUAAAUAAUAGAAGAAUUACACUUUGACCCUUUCUCCGAGGUUCAGGCUAAGCCGCCAAUUUGAUGUUCC
rnacentral:lncRNA from 1 species